CGAGCUUCCUCAUUUCCUAAUUAGCGCACGAAUUCUGCUUCCUCGUGCUGGCACCCCGCGUUGCGACGACACCCGAACAAAAAGCGUGAAGAGGUAGGAGAGAUGAGGGGCCUCCUCCUCACGCCCCCAGGGGCUGCACCUGCCAGGGGUGAGGACGGCGGGUGUGAACUCUGAACCAUGGGCCGGCCGGGCCUGCUCACUCAAUAUCCGUACACAGCCAAUCUUGCCAGCCCACAGAGGGAUGAAACGAGAUGAGAGGGAACAG